rnacentral:rRNA from 1 species
AUGUGCAGCCACAGCACCCUGGACGCACCCGGCCUCGUCUCGCCUCGGGAGCUAAGCAGGGUCGGGCCUGGUUAGUACUUGGCUGGGAGAGAGGCAGGACUCAGCCACAGA